UCCGAAAUUUUGUUGUUGCAAAAUGGUCAGGCUUAUCCCUUUAUUGUUGUUUUUAUAAAAAUAACAAUAAAGGGAUAAGCCUGACCAUUUUGCAACAACAAAAUACUACG
rnacentral:pre_miRNA from 1 species